UACGGGGGAGCAAGCGUUGUUCGGAUUUACUGGGCGUAAAGGGCGCGUAGGCGGCCACCGCAAGUCGACUGUGAAAUCUCCGGGCUUAACCCGGAAAGGUCAGCCGAUACUGCGGGCUAGAGUGCAGAAGGGGCAACUGGAAUUCUCGGUGUAGCGGUGAAAUGCGUAGAUAUCGAGAGGAACACCUGCGGCGAAGGCGGGUUGCUGGGCUGACACUGACGCUGAGGCGCGAAAGCUAGGGGAGCGAACGGG
rnacentral:rRNA from 1 species